rnacentral:rRNA from 1 species
GAUGAACGCUGGCGGCGUGCCUAAUACAUGCAAGUCGAGCGAACGGACGAGAAGCUUGCUUCUCUGAUGUUAGCGGCGGACGGGUGAGUAACACGUGGAUAACCUACCUAUAAGACUGGGAUAACUUCGGGAAACCGGAGCUAAUACCGGAUAAUAUUUUGAACCGCAUGGUUCAAAAGUAAAAGACGGUCUUGCUGUCACUUAUAGAUGGAUCCGCGCUGCAUUAGCUAGUUGGUAAGGUAACGGCUUACCAAGGCAACGAUGCAUAGCCGACCUGAGAGGGUGAUCGGCCACACUGGAACUGAGACACGGUCCAGACUCCUACGGGAGGCAGCAGUAGGGAAUCUUCCGCAAUGGGCGAAAGCCUGACGGAGCAACGCCGCGUGAGUGAUGAAGGUCUUCGGAUCGUAAAACUCUGUUAUUAGGAAAGAACAUAUGUGUAAGUAACUGUGCACAUCUUGACGGUACCUAAUCAGAAAGCCACGGCUAACUACGUG